rnacentral:rRNA from 1 species
UCGGGAAUUUUGGGCAAUGGGCGAAAGCCUGACCCAGCAACGCCGCGUGAAGGAUGAAGUCUCUCGGGAUGUAAACUUCGUAAGAAUAGGAAGAAUAAAUGACGGUACUAUUUGUAAGGUCCGGCUAACUACGUGCCAGCAGCCGCGGUAAUACGUAGGGACCAAGCGUUGUUCGGAUUUACUGGGCGUAAAGGGCGCGUAGGCGGCGUGGUAAGUCACUUGUGAAAUCUCCGGGCUUAACUCGGAACGGUCAGAUGAUACUGCUUUGCUAGAGUGCAGAAGGGGCAAUCGGAAUUCUUGGUGUAGCGGUGAAAUGCGUAGAUAUCAAGAGGAACACCUGAGGUGAAGACGGGUUGCUGGGCUGACACUGACGCUGAGGCGCGAAAGCCAGGGGAGCAAACGGGAUUAGAUACCCCGGUAGUCCCUGAGCGGGCUGGCAAGGCGCAU